rnacentral:rRNA from 1 species
UUUUGUGCACUGUAAAAUUUUUUCACUUAAGCUUUGUCUGAUUGAUAUUUGUACCGAAAGGGACAAGAAUUUUAAUCUAAAACAACUUUUAACAAUGGAUCUCUUGGCUCUCGCAUCGAUGAAGAACGCAGCGAAAUGCGAUAAGUAAUGUGAAUUGCAGAAUUCAGUGAAUCAUCGAAUCUUUGAACGCAUAUUGCGCUCUCCGGCAUUCCGGAGAGCAUGCCUGUUUGAGUAUUGGCCUAAAUGAGAGUCUUCCUUUAAAGAUAUAAAAAAAGAACGUUAAGAACCCUCAGUUGAGACUUCUCGACAAUUCAUUGCCGAGUGUUUUAAAAUGCAAUAGUACCGCCACGUUUGCGAACUUGGAGUAAUAUGUGAGCCUGAAAAGGUGACCUCUAUUCUCCUCGGACCACGUAGACCUGUUAAGCGGGAAGUUUUUGAAUGCCGAAUUAUGGGAGACGGUGUUCAAUUGUUCGAGUAACGACGAACGAAAUAAACUCAAUCUCAAAUCAGGUAGGAUUACCCGCUGAACUUAAGCAUAUCA